rnacentral:lncRNA from 1 species
UCUAGAAUAAGCGAAUACUCUUAGCAAACUUUGUUUGCGUUACAAUACAAUUUAGUUUAAUUACUAACCACAUUUAUGGUAUGUUUGGAAUUCGAAGCAACGUAGGUUUCACCGGGUUUUAUGAAUUACGUAUAUUUCAAACUCUGUGUGGUGUUUUGUUUUGUUCGAAGUUUUUCUUUGAGUUACCAAUUUUUGCAUUAGAUAUUGAAUAGACUCCUGUACCUCUUCUCACUUUUUUGUUUAAAAGUAUAUUUAUAUAUUCAGCGUCCAGCUGAAGGAUGCCUACGGGUGCGAGAAUUUCUCGUUGCAUUGAGGACCUGUUGGUGAUCUUCUGCUGUUGUCAGCUCUAUGGUCGGGUUGUUGUUUCUUUGACACAUUCCCCAUUUCCAUUCUCAAUUUUAUUUGACAAUGGUGAUAAUUCCGGAAUUAUAUUAAUAUGAUCAAUACCUGGAAAAUAAAUAAAGUGUUAGUGAAGGUAACAUUAAAAGUAACAUACAAG